rnacentral:lncRNA from 1 species
UCGGCGAGGUGGUCGAGCAGGUUCUGGAAGGGGCCGACGCCGGUGACGAGCCCCUGGAUGAAGUACCCGAGGAUGGCGAGCAUGGCGAGCCUGCCGUUCUUGAUCUCCUUGAGCUUGAGCUCCUUCAUCUCCUUCUCGGUCUUUCCGAACCCGAGCGGGUUGAAGAGCGGGCCGCCGGGGUAGGACGGGUCGCCGGAGCCGGCGAGGAACUUCUCGAGGCCGAGGAAGUACUGCUUGCCCAUGGAGCCCGGGUUGUACCAGUCCUGGAGGCGGCGGUGCUCGGCGAAGCCCAUGAGCGCCAUGUUGAAGACGAAGAGCGUGUAGGAGUCGGCCCAGUAGUUGUAGGUGCCCGCCGGCGGGAUGACCCCCGUCUUGAACCACGGCAGCGCCGUCUCCGGCGGGAUGAGGCCCAGCUUGCCGAAGACCUCCGGAGCGAUGGCGCCCGCAGCGCCCAGCAUGGCGAAGCGCCCGUUGAUCACCUCCCCGUAGGCCAGCCACUUGGGCUCGAUGAAGCCGCCGGUGCCCUCCGGGUCGGAGAGGCCCAGCGGGUCGAAACCGUAGUCGCCGGGCAGCCUGCGACGACGACGGCAUCGUCCAAG